UGACGUCUGUGUGCCAGCCGCCGCGGUAAUACCGGCAGCUCAAGUGGUCGUCGCUUUUAUUGGGCCUAAAACGUCCGUAGCCUGUUUGGUAAAUCUGUGGGUAAAUCAACCAGCUUAACUGGUUGAAUUCUGCAGAGACUGCCAGACUAGGGACCGGGAGAGGUGUGGGGUACUCUAGGGGUAGGGGUAAAAUCCUGUCAUCCUUAGAGGACCACCAGUUGCGAAGGCGCCACACUGGAACGGAUCCGACGGUCAGGGACGAAGCCUAGGGGCACGAACCGGAUUAGAUACCCGGGUAGUCCUAGGUGUAAACGCUGUGAACUUGGUGUCGGGGAUCCGUCAUGGGUCCCCGGUGCCGGAGUGAAGAUGUUAAGUUCACUGCCUGGGGAGUACGGUCGCAAGGCUGAAACUUAAAGGAAUUGGCGGGGGAGCACUGCAACGGGAGGAGCGUGCGGUUUAAUUGGAUUCAACGCCGGAAAACUCACCAGGGCCGACUGUUAUAUGAAGACCAGUGUGAUGAACUUGUCGGAUUUUCAGAGAGGUGGUGCAUGGCCGUCGUCAGUUCGUACUGUAAAGCGUUCUGUUAAGUCAGAUAACGAACGAGACCCUCAUCUCUAUUUGCUACCUGUCUCUCCGGAGACAGCGCACUAUAGGGAGACCGCUGGUGUUAAACCAGAGGAAGGCGAGGGCAACGACAGGUCAGUAUGCCCCGAAUGUCCUGGGCUACACGCGCGCUACAAAGGACGGGACAAUGGGAAGCCAGGCCGAGAGGCCGAGCUAACCCGAAACCCGUUCGUAGUUCGGAUUGAGGGCUGUAACUCGCCCUCAUGAAGCUGGAUUCCGUAGUAAUCGUGUUUCAAAAUAGCACGGUGAAUAUGCCCCUGCUCCUUGCACACACCGCCCGUCAAACCAUCUUAGUUGGGGGUGGGUGAGGCUGCGCUUUAUGGCGUAUUCGAGCCUGCCUUCGACAAGGAGGGUUAAGUCGUAACAAGGUAUCUGUAGGGGAACCUGCAGAUG
rnacentral:rRNA from 1 species